GGCAACCCUGACGGAGCAACGCCGCGUGGGGGAGGAAUGUCUGUGGAUUGUAAACCCCUUUUCUCAGGGAAGAAGCUCUGACGGUACCUGAGGAAUCAGCAUCGGCUAACUCCGUGCCAGCAGCCGCGGUAAUACGGAGGAUGCAAGCGUUAUCCGGAAUGAUUGGGCGUAAAGCGUCCGCAGGUGGCAAUGUAAGUCUGCUGUUAAAGAGUCUAGCUCAACUAGAUAAGAGCAGUGGAAACUACAUAGCUAGAGUACGUUCGGGGCAGAGGGAAUUCCUGGUGUAGCGGUGAAAUGCGUAGAGAUCAGGAAGAACACCGGUGGCGAAGGCGCUCUGCUAGGCCGUAACUGACACUGAGGGACGAAAGCUAGGGGAGCG
rnacentral:rRNA from 1 species